GGAUUGCAAAAGCUUACACUGUGACUUGUGUUCAAAUCCAGGCGAUUUUGCGAUUUUUGCAAGCGCUUGCCAGGUUUGUGUGCAUCAGACGGUCAGUGAAUGGACUGUGGGCGGUCCGUGGGCGAGACUAGAACACAAAUAACCUUCAAUCACGCUAGCAAAGUUAAAGCACACUUCGGGUUUGAAGAGAAUUACGGUCCCAUAAUGCCUGAGGAUAUGAAGGUUGGGCAUGCCAGUUAGCGUUCCUGUGUGGUUAAGGGUAACAGCUAAGCACGUGCCAAGGCAUGGCGGCAUACGACAGCAGUGGCCCGUGCGUGGGGGUGUGGCGUGGCACUCGGAGCGACACGGCGUCAGAUGGAGGAGCCGCUCUCCAUUAGACGAGAGCUCCCCGGGGAACCGCCGCAGCUGACAAGCUGUAAGAAGUGUCUGCUAAUUAUGAAAGUCCAAAUUCAAACCGCUUUGAAGAUGGCAAGCUCAGAGAGUCUCAACAGGAGUCGUGCGCUAACCUUUCGUCUUGCUCAAAACGGGGGCCUUCUCUCGCUCUACGCCCACCAAGAGCAGACUCGUAAAUCUACAGUCAGGAAGAGAGGUUCAGUGUUCCAAUGUGUCCCACGAGGCCUCCAGCAAAUCACAUAGCUCAGUAAAAUCAGCACGAACCAGAGAAACUUCUGGAAAUCUCAUCAGCGAGGCGCACGACCGUCAAUCAAAUUCACAAAUCGGAGGGGUUUGUGACCUUAGAUUUGCGGGGAGUCGCUCUGGGCUGAUCGAAUUAGCUAUCGGUCUAUUGAAUGCAGGGAUAUUUUGGCAUGUUUGAAAAUCUUAAUACUUUAUUGCUCUUGAGAGGAACAAACCCCCUGAACCUCAUAGACUUUUCAUGCCUGAUAGAUGUAAUACUCCAAAAGCUCUGCAAUUUAUUCCAGUGAAAACAUAUUGAAACCGCUAUGUGUUGGUUAAAACCAAAAUGUGCGCAAAGAAAGAGCGAAACUCCUAUAUGUCCCAUUAGUGGUGACUGAGUGAUGUGUGGCUGUGUUUUGUGCUGUCCCACACACACAUACUGUAUGUGUUUUUUUUUUCUCCCAUGGGUGCAGCAAUGGAGUCCCAACAGUAUGGUUCUCAUAAUUGUUCACAACCUACCUUGAAAUCAUUUUAAUUUGGGGCCACUUUCACACUCGCACAGCUAAACAAAACACACUCACACCCUUAUUGUACAUCAUUUAGAUGAGCAGAGAUAGAGUGAUAUAUUGGUAUGAUUUUGAUAUUUUGUGGUAAAUUUAUCCAGCUUACACUGAACAGGAUAACACCAUCUGUGAUUCACUUAUGAGAGUGACGAGGAAGCACAAAGAAAAGCUAAAUUAAAGAGUGGGAAAUGCAUCUCAAAUAAGACAUGACAGUGUGGCUCAUCCGAUCAGAAUUUUGAGUGUACACUAUCCCACUUAUAAUAUUAAUUUAACAGCAUUUAAAUACAUACAUACAUGAAUGAAUGAAUGCUAUUAAUAAUCUAAUCUUUUGGUUUGUGCAAUUAAAUAAUCAGAAAAUAAUAGAAUAAAAUAACAUUAUAAUAUAUACGUUAUACUAUA
ensembl:lncRNA